UAUGUAUUUUUAUUGAUUAUUAUUGAUUGGGGGGGCAGCUGCCCCUCCCUUCCCCCUCUUGGCUACGCCCAUGGAGGGGACGGGGACGUUCAGCAAGCGCAUUUCUUCCGUUGCAGUUUGCAAGGGGGAGGCAAGAAACCCCCCUCACCACGCCUCGCACUUUCCCUUUCGCGCUCUUAAACGAUUUAUUCCGAAAUUCGGUCACUUCAGAGCAUCAACUUCGGUAGGGAGUUCCUCCUGCGGCUGAUGUCUUUGGAAACGUUAUCACUGUGUGUGGAAUGAUGCUCUGCAGAGGAUGCGACCCUAAGCAGCGGUUCUUGGGUUCAAUUGGAGAAGUCAAGGGCUAAUAUCUGGGACCUUAUUUCUGAGAUUUGAAAAAAGCAAUCAGCACUUUUCUGGUGGACCUUCUUCCUGUUUCUCCUCCAGCAGAAGUCGGGAGGGUGGAGGAGACUUUUCUGCGGUGGCUCCCCAUUUAUGGAAGGCUAUCCCCAGCGAGGGUCUUCUGGCGUCUUCAUUAUACAUCUUUAGGCACCAGACAAAAGCGUUCCUCUUGAAACUGUGUUUGUGGGAGGUGGGGUUAUUGGUUCGUUUCUGUGUCACUAUGUAUUCUGCAUUCUCAUUUUGUAUUUCUUCUGUUGUGAACCGCCUCAGGCUUUUCCGAUGAAGGGCGGCGUACAAAUGUAAUAAAUAAUAAUAAAAAUAAAUAAUUAUUUGAA